rnacentral:rRNA from 1 species
CCCUUAGAUGUUCUGGGCCGCACGCGCGCUACACUGAUGCAUGCAACGAGUUCUAUCCUUGGCCGGAAGGCCUGGGUAAUCUGUGAACGUGCAUCGUGAUAGGGAUAGAUUAUUGCAAUUAUUAAUCUUGAACGAGGAAUUCCUAGUAAACGCAAGUCAUCAGCUUGCAUUGAUUACGUCCCUGCCCUUUGUACACACCGCCCGUCGCACCUACCGAUCGAAGGUAAUGAUGAGCCCUCAGGAUUGUGGCCUCGUCGCGUCAGCGUCUUGGCUGCGAGAAUCUGUGCAAAUCCCUACCUUUAGAGGAAGGUGAANUCGUAGCA